rnacentral:tRNA from 2 species
GGAAGCGUGGCCGAGCGGUUUAAGGCACCGGUCUUGAAAACCGGCGAUGGUGUGAGCCAUCCGUGAGUUCGAAUCUCACCGCUUCCGCCA